AGAGUUUGAUCAUGGCUCAGGAUGAACGCUAGCUACAGGCUUAACACAUGCAAGUCGAGGGGCAGCAUGUUGGUUGCUUGCAACCAACGAUGGCGACCGGCGCACGGGUGAGUAACGCGUAUCCAACCUACCCUUGUCCAUCGGAUAACCCGUCGAAAGGCGGCCUAACACGAUAUGCGGUUCACAGCAGGCAUCUAACGUGAACGAAAUGUAAAGGAGAAGGAUGGGGAUGGCGUCUGAUUAGCUUGUUGGCGGGGUAACGGCCACCAAGGCUACGAUCAGUAGGGGUUCUGGAGAGGAAGGUCCCCCANAUUGGAACUGAAGACACGGUCCAAACUCCGUACGGGAGGCA
rnacentral:rRNA from 1 species